UACGUAGGGUGCAAGCGUUGUCCGGAAUUAUUGGGCGUAAAGAGCUCGUAGGCGGUCUGUUGCGUCGGCUGUGAAAACCCGAGGCUCAACCUCGGGCCUGCAGCCGAUACGGGCAGACUAGAGUUCGGCAGGGGAGACUGGAAUUCCUGGUGUAGCGGUGAAAUGCGCAGAUAUCAGGAGGAACACCGGUGGCGAAGGCGGAUCUCUGGAACGCAACUGACGCUGAGACGCGAAAGCGUGGGGAGCAAACAGG
rnacentral:rRNA from 1 species